CUGAUGGCUGAGGAGCUGCGUCUGGUUCAGGACCCCUGAGGUUCUCCAAGUCCCAUGGAAGACAUCACUGGUAGUAAACCGUGCCCUUGUAUGGGCUUAAGACAAUGCUACGUGUGCUCAAUGAUACCUGUGCAGACCUCAGCCGUGGGGGAAGUGAAGUGGCCUCCCCUUCAGGGAGGGGCAGUCCAGGAGAAGGGAGCAGAGCAGUGAGCACUGCAGGAUGAGAGCACUGCCUUACCUGCAGGUGGACCAGCAGAUGGAAGGUGAGUGCAGACUACAGACUCUGCCAGCUGCCAGCCAAGCUGCUGCUGGGUGCCAGUCAGGGAAAGAGUGGUUUUUGGGAGUACAUCUGUAUCUAG
ensembl:lncRNA